GCCUUUUUCUUCUAUUGGCGGCAGAUCAGUGUAUUCCCAAAGUCACCCUGAAACCGAAAAAGAGAAUGUCUUGGCUCUCGGAUGAAACACUUCUACAAAUAAAGAAAAAGAGAAGAGCCUAUACUGUAUAAGCUGGCCAAACACUUGCAUCACUUUAGUAAGCAUAGGGCUAUCUCUGAUAAAGUCUGCAACAUGACCAGAACUGAAGAGACCACCUUGAUCAUUUGCAGGUCAUAACAUAUCCAACCUAAGCACUGCGAUGGAUGAAAAACAUCAGAGGACACAGUUAUCAGAUUCCUGAAAUCCAUCAUGGAGGUGCUAUACCCCUCACCAAUCCCUUUCAGAAGGCGGAGACAUUUUGUAGAUUCUUUGUGUCAAAAUUGGUAAAAGAGGAUACAAGUUCCCUGAAGAAUAUCAAGCAAGACCUGGACAAAACAACCAGUGAAAUGAAGACAUCAGACAUUGUCAUACUUGAAGAUGAGGUUUACAAGCUGUUGAGCAAGAUAGAUACAUGCACAUCGAAGGCUAGUGGACCUGAUGAACUUCCUGGCAGGCUUCUGAAGGAAGGAGCUCAGUGGAUUGCUAGCCCCCUGUCCAAACUAUUCUCACUAUCUCUAGCACACGGAAAGCUACCGCAAGAUUGGACAUCAAUAUAAGAAGAGGUUCAAGAAAGUUAAGACACCCCUGGUCUAUCCUCCACUAGCUAGCCAAGCCUGUCGGGACAACUGUGAACAAAAUAGUGAAGAUCAUGAUGAGUUGCAAGAUGGCAGUGAUCCAUGUGAUCUUGAUGGUGUGGGCUCAGAUGAUGACCAACCAAGUCAAGAUGGUGAUUUACCAUCUGCUCACUAUCAAAGACGUGAAAAGGCAGCAUCGGCAUGGGAUAAUCUCUUACCAUCUUUGAUCUCAUCAACUGUAGCAAUGAGUUGUAUACCCUCGGCAACUGUAUGUGAUAGGUGUAAAGUCGCGAUGGCAUCUGUGCGAUGUGGUCCAACUACAUUCUUAUGUGAUAGUUGUACGGUUAAUCACCACAGUGAUGAAGAUUUCCUUGGGAAUGCAUUUCAUACACCAGAGAAAUGGAUCAACAAUCGAUUCCAGCGGUUUAAGUACCCAUCUACAUUGAUUCUCAAAACCAUCCACGAAUGUCCUACUCAGUAUAAGAAAUAUGUUGUCUGUGUUGAUGCAACAGGAAUUCAACACCAAUUGUGUGUUGUGUUUUGUCAUUGCGAGGCUGAACCUUUAACGUUGUUAAGGUUGAAUCUGUGGGCUGCAACACCAACCAGACCAACACUAGCUUUCUCGACUGAUCUGUUGCUAAAGAUGAAAAUUAUGAUUCUAGAUUGUCAGGUGGCUGUAAUGGACUUUGCUCAAGCUUUGGAAACCCAGUUAAAUUUGUUAGGACCAGAUUACCCACAGUUUCGAAAAGUAUAUCCAGCCAUAAUUGACUCAUUUGAGGAGUUUAGAUACUACCACUUCAAGUUAUAAACACUUGAUGGUAUAUCUACUGAGCCAGAUGAUUUCUCUCACAGGUAGGUAUUUCAAUACUAACGUCGCAUAAUUUUUGUGUUCGAUUCCAUUUAGGAUGGGGAAAGAGGUGGCAUAGUUCAUAUCUCCUAUGAUGCAAUGUUUGGUCUUUGCCGAAAAAAAUCUGCUGGUGUAAGUAUCAGGAAUGCCCAUCACCAAGGAAGGUACUUUGUUGACCAAAAAGAAGUUGAUAAUUUCAUGAACUCUUACUCGAGCACAAAAAGAGCUUCUAAAAAGGGCUGUAAUGAUUUCCUUGCUGGGAGUAUUGUAAGAUCUCGACAGAGAUACGCAGCACUUGAUGAGACAGCAGUUGCUGGACUUGCAUGUAGACAUGAAUUCCCUCUGAAAUUUCUGAAUUUCAAGUUUGGAGAAAGCUGGAAUUCAGCCCUCGUUUUCAAGAAGGUUUUGGACUGACUGAUGGUGAGGUUCUUGAGCGUUUAUGGAGCUAUAUGAGACGAUUUUCUAAAAUGACAAAAGAGAUGAGACCAUCGAUCCCACAGGAUAGAUGUUCUGAAUGAUGCUCUUGGUCAUUUUUUGCGUACCAGUCUUCAAUGAACCUAGGUGAUAUACUGGUUGAAAGAAUGAAAAAAGCUGUUAACUUAGCGCAGGGUACCUCAAGCGAUCUGGAAGCACUCAGGACUGAUUCUAGUGGCGACCCUGUAUUCACUUCGAAUGACAUUAAGCGUUGGUACGCUGAAGACAAAUCUAAAGGGUGCACAACUAGUGAAAACAUGCAAGUACACGUAGAAAACGUAUGGCAAGAAUCUUAGGUUGAGCAUCUCCAGUCCUUCUGGCAAUUCAGUGUGAUUUGCAAUCUUGUACUGAUGUGACUGCACUGUCACUAUUGUCACGAAAGUUGAUCAGAUUGAACCAUCAACUACAACACAUUGAAAAUGAAAAUCGUGUUUUAGAGAGAUAGAAAGCUGGUGAUAAAGUGUACAACGAAUUCCUUCAAAGCCGAAGCGUGAAACAAUGUUUAGUUCUCUUUGGUGAUAUCCAGUCCAUUGCUCGGCAACGAUGGUAUAUGCUGCUAGUUAAAACCAAAUUCUCUGCUGGACAUAGCAUGACCCAUAAAAUAUCAGCAAAUAAUUAUCACUAACAUCACAAAACAACUAAAGAAGACGAUUACUGUGUACAAUAAAACAGCCUUUUCCUGUGAUUUAGAACAGGAAUCAUUGCCAUGCGAAAUCACUUGGGAGAUGGUAAAUAACAUUCAUUCACACCUUUGGGUUUCUUCAAGUUCAAGUGAUAUUGAUAUCCCUGCUAAUGUUAGACGUGAUGCCAUGAACAAGUAUUUUCUUCAGCAGCGAGCCAGAGAGGAAAUAGAUUUAAUAAAACUUGAAAUGAAACGUUUCAUUUCUAUGCAUUAUCAGAUUGAUAGACUCACUACUUCUCUACCAUUGACACCAUCAUAUGAGCAAACUGUUGAAGAAAUGGGGAAAAGUGGAAUGAUCAAUUCCCACAUUCGUGAGCUUUGUGUUAAAGUACUCACACUCCGAAAAACUUUCGCACUGUAUUACGUAGACGUUAACGAACUACCUAAUGAAGGCCACACUUGUGAUCUCCAUUCACCGGAUUUCUUUGAUAAAGAACAACCAACUGAUAUUGAUUAUUGGCACAGUGUUGCUGAAGAGCACUUCGAACGAACUGAGAGGUUACGAAAGCUUGAGGCUGAGGAACAGGAGUCAUGCGAUGAAUCAGUAGAUAGUGAUGACAUGAAUGUGUGAUUUUGAAUUUCUGUGUACAUUUGUUGAUA